rnacentral:tRNA from 1 species
GCCGCUAUAGCUCAGAGGUAGAGUACACCAUUGGUAAUGGUGUGGUCGAAGGUUCAAUUCCUUCUAGCGGCACCA